rnacentral:misc_RNA from 1 species
AACGCACAUUGCGCCCGCCAGUAUUCUGGCGGGCAUGCCUGUUCGAGCGUCAUUUCAACCAUCAAGCGCCUGCGCUUGUGUUGGAGCCCUGCGGCUGCCGCAGGCUCCCAAACCCAGUGGCGGGCUCGUCGUCGUACCGAGUGCAGUAAACUUACCACGCUCAGGGCACGCGACGGGUGACCGGCCGUAAAACCCCCCACUUUCUCAAGGUUGACCUCGGAUCAGGUAGGAAUACCCGCUGAACUUAA